AGUUUGUACAUUUGUUUUAGCCAAUACUUCAGUUUUAAAAAUCGUUUCACGGCGAAUUUAGAUAGUUUUAUAGAUAUGCAGACGGCUAUUUCAAAUAAGAGCCGUUUGAUUUUAAAACUGGCUUGCACAUGGCGGAAAUCGGCUAGAAAUUUAUCCUCGGUAUUGGAAGGUUUUUAUGGUUCUGUUGGAAACACCCCACUUAUCAAGCUACAUGGUGUAAGCAAAGAAACAGGUUGUGAGAUUCUU